AUGGGUUUCAUGAAUCACCAUAUCCAGAGAUUCGUCGACACAGCUUGUUGCCAGUCGAAGAAGGAUUGGCCGGUGCUGCCGGCUGGUGUCAAGUUUGAUCCCACGGAUCAGGAGCUGAUCGAGCACCUUGAGGCCAAAGUGAGUGUUGACAGCGCGAGAUUUCAGUCUCUCAUUGAUUUGUUCAUACCAACCAUCGACAGCGAGCACGGCAUAUGCUACACCCAACCUAAGAAACUUCCAGCAAAAAAGGUUCUGGUGCUGCACACCAACAAGAACUUCGACCAGCAGAGGGCCAACUGGGUGAUGCACCAGUACCACCUCGGGGACCUGGAGCAAGAGAAGGAGCGGGAGCUAGUCCUCUGCAAGAUUUUCUACCAGACGAACACUAGGGCCAGGAGUAGUUUAGUAUUGGUAGUUGUACUACCUUGUCGUCCGCAAGUUGGUAUUGUUGUUAACGAUCUUUUGGCCCAGCCCAUGACGACAACAGGGCACAAAGAUCCAGCAGGUAUCUACUGGCCUCUGGCCCGCCAGCGUUAG
rnacentral:rRNA from 1 species